rnacentral:rRNA from 1 species
AUACCCUACUAUGCCUAACUUAACACACAUGAAAUCACCAGCUGUUCGCCAAACAACUACGAGUUAAAACUUAAAACUUAAAAGACUUGACGGUACUUCACACCACCCUAGAGGAGCCUGUCUAAUAACCGAUACUCCACGAUUAACCCAACCCACCCUAGCCCAACAGUCUAUAUACCGCCAUCGCCAGCUUACCUUGUGAGAGAAACAAAGUGAACACAACAGCCACCACUAACACGAUAGGUCGAGGUGUAACUAAUGGGUGGGAAAAAGAUGGGCUACAUUUUCUAACACAGAAAACACGAAUAGACUACGAAAAUAGAAACCGAAGGCGGAUUUAGCAGUAUGUUAAGGACAAAAUGCUUAACCGAAAUAAAUGCAAUGAAGUGCGUACACACCGCCCGUCAUCCCUGUAUAAACCCACUAAAACUACAUAAACACAACAAACCCACCAAACAGGGCAAGUCGUAAC